rnacentral:rRNA from 1 species
AGUGAACGCUGGCGGCGUGCUUAACACAUGCAAGUCGAACGAGAACGGGCUAUAGCUUGCUAUAGUUGUCAGCUAAGUGGCGCACGGGUGAGUAAUGUAUAGGUAAUAUGCCUCUUACUAAGGGAUAACAAAUGGAAACGUUUGCUAAUACCUUAUACUCCUUAUUAACAGAAGUUAAUAAGGGAAAGAUUUAUUGGUAAGAGAUUAGCCUGUAUUGUAUCAGUUAGUUGGUGGGGUAAUGGCUUACCAAGAAUAUGACACAUAACUGGUUUGAGAGGAUGAUCAGUCACACUAGAACUGAGACACGGUCCAGACUCCUACGGGAGGCAGCAGUGGGGAAUAUUGCACAAUGGACGAAAGUCUGAUGCAGCAACGCCGCGUGGAGGAUGACACAUUUCGGUGCGUAAACUCCUUUUAUAUAAGAAGAUAAUGACGGUAUUAUAUGAAUAAGCACCGACUAACUCCGUGCCAGCCGCCGCCGUAA